rnacentral:rRNA from 1 species
UGAACGCUGGCGGCGUGCCUAAUACAUGCAAGUCGAGCGAACAGACGAGGAGCUUGCUCCUCUGACGUUAGCGGCGGACGGGUGAGUAACACGUGGAUAACCUACCUAUAAGACUGGGAUAACUUCGGGAAACCGGAGCUAAUACCGGAUAAUAUAUUGAACCGCAUGGUUCAAUAGUGAAAGACGGUUUUGCUGUCACUUAUAGAUGGAUCCGCGCCGCAUUAGCUAGUUGGUAAGGUAACGGCUUACCAAGGCAACGAUGCGUAGCCGACCUGAGAGGGUGAUCGGCCACACUGGAACUGAGACACGGUCCAGACUCCUACGGGACGCAGCAGUAGGGAAUCUUCCGCAAUGGGCGAAAGCCUGACGGAGCAACGCCGCGUGAGUGAUGAAGGUCUUCGGAUCGUAAAACUCUGUUAUUAGGGAAGAACAAAUGUGUAAGUAACUAUGCACGUCUUGACGGUACCUAAUCAGAAAGCCACGGCUAACUACGUG